AUCACUUCUCGGCCUUUUGGCGAAGAUCAAGUGUAGUAUCUGUUGUUAUUAGCAUAAUAUUGUAUAUGCAACCAAUAGUCAAUACAAGGUUGGUUGUAUCUGAUGUGAACCAAC
rnacentral:snRNA from 1 species